rnacentral:tRNA from 1 species
UCCUCCUUAGCUCAGUUGGUUAGAGCAUCUGACUGUUAAUCAGAGGGUCACUGGUUCAAGUCCAGUAGGGGGGA